AAGCCUAUUCUUUCAGGGAUCAUUUCUAUAGUUCAUUACUAGAGUUUCUCUGAACAUGUAGAGCACCAAAAACCAUGAGGAAGAACCAGAGAAUAUUCUCCUGAGCAUGAAGCUGGUUUAAGGUGUUGCUUCUGCAACUGCCUUUUACUAUUGAUGAUCGUUCUCUUCCUUCAGAAGGGUGAGAAGGAGAGUAUGUAGUCUGAGUGGU